rnacentral:rRNA from 1 species
CCUACACAUGCAAGUCGAGCGGUAGCACAGAGAGCUUGCUCUCGGGUGACGAGCGGCGGACGGGUGAGUAAUGUCUGGGAAACUGCCUGAUGGAGGGGGAUAACUACUGGAAACGGUAGCUAAUACCGCAUAAUGUCGCAAGACCAAAGUGGGGGACCUUCGGGCCUCAUGCCAUCAGAUGUGCCCAGAUGGGAUUAGCUAGUAGGUGGGGUAACGGCUCACCUAGGCGACGAUCCCUAGCUGGUCUGAGAGGAUGACCAGCCACACUGGAACUGAGACACGGUCCAGACUCCUACGGGAGGCAGCAGUGGGGAAUAUUGCACAAUGGGCGCAAGCCUGAUGCAGCCAUGCCGCGUGUGUGAAGAAGGCCUUCGGGUUGUAAAGCACUUUCAGCGGGGAGGAAGGCGUUAAGGUUAAUAACCUUGGCGAUUGACGUUACCCGCAGAAGAAGCACCGGCUAACUCCGUGCCAGCAGCCGCGGUAAUACGGAGGGUGCAAGCGUUAAUCGGAAUUACUGGGCGUAAAGCGCACGCAGGCGGUCUGUCAAGUCGGAUGUGAAAUCCCCGGGCUCAACCUGGGAACUGCAUUCGAAACUGGCAGGCUAGAGUCUUGUAGAGGGGGGUAGAAUUCCAGGUGUAGCGGUGAAAUGCGUAGAGAUCUGGAGGAAUACCGGUGGCGAAGGCGGCCCCCUGGACAAAGACUGACGCUCAGGUGCGAAAGCGUGGGGAGCAAACAGGAUUAGAUACCCUGGUAGUCCACGCCGUAAACGAUGUCGAUUUGGAGGUUGUGCCCUUGAGGCGUGGCUUCCGGAGCUAACGCGUUAAAUCGACCGCCUGGGGAGUACGGCCGCAAGGUUAAAACUCAAAUGAAUUGACGGGGGCCCGCACAAGCGGUGGAGCAUGUGGUUUAAUUCGAUGCAACGCGAAGAACCUUACCUGGUCUUGACAUCCACAGAACUUACAGAGAUGGUUUGGUGCCUUCGGGAACUGUGAGACAGGUGCUGCAUGGCUGUCGUCAGCUCGUGUUGUGAAAUGUUGGGUUAAGUCCCGCAACGAAGCGCAACCCUUAUCCUUUGUUGCCAGCGGUUAGGCCGGGAACUCAAAGGAGACUGCCAGUGAUAAACUGGAGGAAGGUGGGGAUGACGUCAAGUCAUCAUGGCCCUUACGACCAGGGCUACACACGUGCUACAAUGGCAUAUACAAAGAGAAGCGACCUCGCGAGAGCAAGCGGACCUCAUAAAGUAUGUCGUAGUCCGGAUUGGAGUCUGCAACUCGACUCCAUGAAGUCGGAAUCGCUAGUAAUCGUAGAUCAGAAUGCUACGGUGAAUACGUUCCCGGGCCUUGUACACACCGCCCGUCACACCAUGGGAGUGGGUUGCAAAAGAAGUAGGUAGCUUAACCUUCGGGAGGGCGCUUACCCACUUGA